GGAGUUGGUUCGGCAAUCGCUUGGCUAUAGAUAUGAGUGUUUUUUAUUUAUGUCAAGAGGAAAGUCCGGGCUCCAUAGGGUAGAACGCCAGAUAACGUCUGGGGGGCGUGAGCCUACGGAAAGUGCAGCAGAAAAUAAACCGCCUGAAACUUUGUGUGGAAGGUAAGGGUGAAAUGGUGUGGUAAGAGCGCACCGCGCAACUGGUAACAGCAUGUGGCACGGCAAACCCCGUUCGGAGCAAGAUCAAAUAGGAAUCCUUUGGCGCGACCCGCGCUGGAUUCGGGUAGAUCGCUAGAGGUGUGUGGUGACGCUCACCGUAGAUGAAUGAUUGUCCUCGACAGAACCCGGCUUAUAGGCUGACUCCAAGC
rnacentral:RNase_P_RNA from 1 species